rnacentral:misc_RNA from 1 species
GAAAUGCGAAAAGUAAUGUGAAUUGCAGAAUUCAGUGAAUCAUCGAAUCUUUGAACGCACCUUGCGCUCCUUGGUAUUCCUUGGAGCAUGCCUGUUUGAGUAUCAUGAAAUCUUCAAAGUAAAUCUUUUGUUAACUCAAUUGGUUUCUACUUUGGUAUUGGAGGUCUUUGCAGCUUCACACCUGCUCCUCUUUGUUCAUUAGCUGGAUCUCAGUGUUAUGCUUGGUUCCACUCGGCGUGAUAAGUUAUCUAUCGCUGAGGACACUGUAAAAGGUGGCCAAGGUAAAUGCAGAUGAACCGCUUCUAAUAGUCCAUUGACUUGGACAAUACUUUUAUGAUCUGAUCUCAAAUCAGGUAGGACUACCCGCAGAACUUAAGC